AUUGAACGCUGGCGUCAUGCUUUACACAUGCAAGUCGAACGGUAACAGGCCUUCGGGCGCUGACGAGUGGCGAACGGGUGAGUAAUGCAUCGGAACGUGCCCAGUCGUGGGGGAUAACGCAGCGAAAGCUGUGCUAAUACCGCAUACGAUCUAUGGAUGAAAGCGGGGGACCGUAAGGCCUCGCGCGAUUGGAGCGGCCGAUGUCAGAUUAGGUAGUUGGUGGGGUAAAGGCUCACCAAGCCAACGAUCUGUAGCUGGUCUGAGAGGACGACCAGCCACACUGGGACUGAGACACGGCCCAGACUCCUACGGGAGGCAGCAGUGGGGAAUUGUGGACAAUGGGCGCAAGCCUGAUCCAGCAAUGCCGCGUGCAGGAAGAAGGCCUUCGGGUUGUAAACUGCUUUUGUACGGAACGAAAAGGUCUGGGUUAAUACCCUGGGCUCAUGACGGUACCGUAAGAAUAAGCACCGGCUAACUACGUGCCAGCCGCCGCCGUAAUAC
rnacentral:rRNA from 1 species